rnacentral:rRNA from 1 species
GACGAAUGCUGGCGGCGUGCUUAACACAUGCAAGUCGAACGGAAAGGCCCUGCUUUUGUGGGGUGCUCGAGUGGCGAACGGGUGAGUAACACGUGAGUAACCUGCCCUUGACUUUGGGAUAACUUCAGGAAACUGGGGCUAUUACCGGAUAGGAGCUCCUGCUGCAUGGUGGGGGUUGGAAAGUUUCGGCGGUUGGGGAUGGACUCGCGGCUUAUCAGCUUGUUGGUGGGGUAGUGGCUUACCAAGGCUUUGACGGGUAGCCGGCCUGAGAGGGUGACCGGCCACAUUGGGACUGAGAUACGGCCCAGACUCCUACGGGAGGCAGCAGUGGGGAAUAUUGCACAAUGGGCGGAAGCCUGAUGCAGCAACGCCGCGUGCGGGAUGACGGCCUUCGGGUUGUAAACCGCUUUCGCCUGUGACGAAGCGUGAGUGACGGUAAUGGGUAAAGAAGCACCGGCUAACUACGUG